rnacentral:rRNA from 1 species
UACGAAGGGGGCUAGCGUUGCUCGGAAUCACUGGGCGUAAAGCGCACGUAGGCGGAUCGUUAAGUCAGGGGUGAAAUCCUGGAGCUCAACUCCAGAACUGCCUUUGAUACUGGCGAUCUUGAGUUCGGGAGAGGUGAGUGGAACUGCGAGUGUAGAGGUGAAAUUCGUAGAUAUUCGCAAGAACACCAGUGGCGAAGGCGGCUCACUGGCCCAUAACUGACGCUGAGGCACGAAAGCGUGGGGAGCAAACAGG